rnacentral:pre_miRNA from 1 species
AUGUUUGAGGAUGCAACAUCAUCAAGAUUCACAAAACUUGAAGGGAGAAGUAUUUAAUUAUAUAUUUAGGGUGAAUAUUGGAUAUAUAAUAUAGUUCAAAGUCUCUUAUUUUCUCUCUUUGGGAAUCUUGAUGAUGCUGCAUCAUCUAACAU